AGUGAACGCUGGCGGCGUGCCUCAGACAUGCAAGUCGAACGCGAAAGUCCCCUUCGGGGGACAAGUAGAGUGGCGCACGGGUGAGUAACACGUAGGUAAUCUACCUUCGGAUGGGGAAUAACAACCGGAAACGGUUGCUAAUACCGCAUAAUGCAGCGGCACCUAAUGGUGACAGUUGUUAAAGCGGGGGAUCGUAAGACCUCGCGUCUGAAGAGGAGCCUGCGGCGGAUUAGCUAGNGGUAAGGUAAUGGCUUACCAAGGCUACGAUCCGUAACCGGCCUGAGAGGGCGGUCGGUCACACUGACACUGACAUACGGGUCAGACUCC
rnacentral:rRNA from 1 species